GACGGAGGAGGCUAGCGUUGUUCGGAAUUACUGGGCGUAAAGCGCAUGAAGGUGGUGAAGUAAGCCGGAUGUGAAAUCCCAGGGCUUAACCCUGGAAGUGCAUCCGGGACGUGCUUUGUCUUGAGUUCGGGUAGAGGUGAGUGGAACUGCGAGUGUAGAGGUGAAAUUCGUAGAUAUUCGCAAGAACACCAGUGGCGAAGGCGGCUCACUGGCCCGAUACUGACGCUGAGGCACGAAAGCGUGGGGAGCAAACAGGAUUAGAUA
rnacentral:rRNA from 1 species